AUACUUACCUGGCCUAUGGGGAUAUCAUGAACAUGCAGGCGGUUCCCCCAGGGCGAGGCUGCUCUAUUGCACUGCGGAGUGGUUGACUCUUGCGAUUGUUUUUAUUUUUUUCAAUAAAAAAUCAUAAUAAAAGUGUAUACCCGAAUAAUUAUUCUCUUUA